CUCUCCGAGAUAUAACCGCUCGCAAUAUCCAAACCCAUUUCCGAGCUUUCCUUGCCCGUCGAUCCCAAACCCUCAGACAACUCAAACACCUCGCCUCUAUCAAAUCUAAUCUUGCUGCCCUCAAAUCCCCUCUCUCAGACAAGACCCAACUCCGCAAAUCCGAUGCCCUCUCGCAGAAAGUCACCAGUCAGCUCCAAAAGCUCGAAUCCAUUUAAGGUGGUGACUCGAUGAUUCGGGAAGGGAAAAGGGCAGUAAACAACGAACUGAUUCAGCUAUUGCAAUAUGUUAAUGGCAUGGCAGCGAAAAGGCAAGAGACUCCUUCCAAAUCAAUAAAAAAGGUUUUUGGGACUUCAAGAGCACAAAGAAAUCCCUGCAGCCUACUAGAGUGCAUUUGAUGUUGCCUGUUUAUGCAUGGAAGAGAGACUAGCCUACUCCAAUUUUGAACAGGGUGUAUGGUUGCUCUACUGGUAGUGGCUUCUACUUUGCUGGCAGCAGUGGUCGUUCUACUUUGUGAUUUUGACCACAUCAAUAAGUUUUGGUACUACACAGGGAAAGCCCAAUUUUGUUCCAUUUAAUGAGGAAUUGAUGAAAUCGACUCGAGGUAUUUCGUAUGUCCUAUGCUUUCAAAAACAGGACCACGCAAACACAGUUGGUUUUGAGAAAGGCGCAUCGGUGAUAUUGGAUGAUUCAUGGUUCUCUAAGGACAUCUUUUUACAUCGUCUAUGCAAGGUAGAAUUCUUCUGUUGUUUGAACAUAUAGAAAUGCUGGGAAGGUUCAUAGUAAGGCUGAUUGAAGAGGAAAUUUGGGAGAAAAGUGCAAGCAUUGCUCACAUGUGCAAGAUCCAUGUUAAUGAUUUGCCUUGGUUGGCAGACAGUACCAAUCAUCUAUAUCCAGCAUGCACAUGUGGCAUACUUGAUGAGUGAACCUGUCUUGUGACACCUGGUGAAUGGCCAGGAUCUCUUACAUGUGUACAUUGAAUCUCCUUUUUCAUAUGCUUAUCUUCAGCUGUAUAGAUGUGCAUACCAGUUUUAAUCAUUCGAAAAAUCAGAAUCAAAUCUGAAAUCAUACAGGUAGCAAGCCAAUCAAGUUUUAUGCAUAAAUUACUAUAGCUAGGCUUGCGUUUGGCUCCACCAAAUAUCAUGAAAUACCAUGAUAUUUUUCAUCUAAUUAGACUGAUUAACUGUCAAAUUUCAUGAUAUUUAGUGUAACCAAAAGCACCCUACACUGGAAAUAUUGAAAAUGGUUCAAAAGACGGCGAAUAAGAUUCAUUGAAUUGGUUGAGUGCUUUAAAACUGGCCCAGUUAUCAAAACAACUACUUUUAUUUUCUAAUGCA